rnacentral:lncRNA from 1 species
GUUCUAGUCGGAUGAACUGCCGGUUGGCCUCCAUAUAGCCCUCAUCCGUGAUGGACUCCAGAAUGCCUUGCUCCUCCUCCAUGCCGAAGCUCACAGCCGACGUCAACUCGUGCUCCGACAGCUUCGACUCGUCCUCCUGCGGAUCUGCCACCUCCAUUGAAACCGGUUGCUGAUUCGGCUCCUCCUUCUCCUUCAGCUCCGGCGAACCCUAAGGUCGGCCGACUGCGAUGCGGAUUUGGCGCCUCUCCUGGAUCUCCUCUUCAAUCUGGAACCUACACUCCGGCAACGUCCGACUUAAAUAGCCAUAGUUUUGCCUCGGAGGGCAAGCCAAAGAAGCGUCAUGUAGCAUUCACACCCUCAUGGGUGGAGAUGCCCAUCGGAUUAUUGGGUUUCCCGGCGAUUCCAUUUGACGUGCCUGUCUGGAUCAAUGUUUUGUGAUCGA